rnacentral:rRNA from 1 species
UACGUAGGUGGCAAGCGUUAUCCGGAAUUACUGGGCGUAAAGCGUGCGUAGGCGGUUCCUCAAGUCCGUUGUGAAAGCCCCGGGCUCAACCUGGGAAUGGCAGUGGAAACUAGGGGACUGGAAUCUGGCAGAGGGGGGUGGAAUGCCGCGUGUAGCAGUGAAAUGCGUAGAGAUGCGGCGGAACACCGAUGGCGAAGGCAGCCCCCUGGGCUGAGAUUGACGCUCAGGCACGAAAGCGUGGGGAGCAAACAGG